rnacentral:lncRNA from 1 species
UAAAAAGUCAAAAGUAUGUAAGAAUAAAUUACAGAAAUAGACCGAUAUUCAUACUAGUCCAAAAGUUAUAGGUAGAAUUUAUGAGAAUCCAAAAAUAGUUAAUACCACUACGCGAUAGAAUGAUUUUGACGUUUGUGGUUCAACGUAUAUAGUAAUUCAUAAUAGAAAUAUAUCAUAAUGGCAUAUAAUAGACCAAUAUAAUACUGACGGGAUCUUUUAAAUUACAGAGUCACGUAAUAAGAACAAAAGAAAUACAAAAAGUCGCAUAUAAAAAACAAACCACAAAAAAAUGAAAGUCAAUACAAACACAUUGACGAGAUGAAUAAGUACCGAGCCACGUCAAACUGAUAUCACAUGAAACCAUUCAACAGUAACAUUAAUAAUAGAACAAAGACAAAUGAAAGAACAAUAAAACAUGUUGUUAAGAUGAUAAACAACAUCAGUACGCAGAAUCUAUACAUCAAGACCAUCAUGUAUUAUUUGAGAAGUUGAUACGGAAUAUUUAUCAACAAGGUCUUGAUACCUUCCGAUGAAAGAACCCCAAGGAUCCAUUUUUUGUUGAUAUCAAAAAGUUUAAUUUUGGACCACGAUAAUGACCAACUUGAAAACUGGCGCCAUAAGCAAAAAUCGUAAUACAUGUUUAGAUUAAGCAUAUCAAAGAACCCCAAGGAUUCAAUUUUUGUUGAAAUCAAACAAAGUUUAAUUUUAAACCCACUUGAAAACUGGG